rnacentral:lncRNA from 13 species
ACACAUCACAUAGAUCUGGAGCCAGUCCUAAAGGUUUUACACAUCACAUAGAUCUGGAGCCAGUCCUAAAGGUUUUACACAUCACAUAGAUCUGGAGCCAGUCCUAAAGGUUUUACACAUCACAUAGAUCUGGAGCCAGUCCUAAAGGUUUACCUCUCUCUCUCUUUCCCCUCUCUCAGAUCAUCAGUACUGCAGUAGUAGUUUCCUGCAGCAUCUUGGUAGGUGGUUUCUGUCUGAUGGGUCUCAGCCAGGGCACCAAGGAGAACCAGAACUACCAAGCCCUGGAGAGAGCCUCCAACACAGGUACUAUAGAGGACCUGAGGCCCCCUGGACGCCAGGAGGACCAGAACUGCCAAGCCCUGGAGAGAGCCUCCAACACAGACUGUUGUAGCUGUACACAGCCCGUGCCCGACAUGAUCAACGGCGCCACCAGGAACGACACUCCCACGUCUCUAACAGGCCAGUGUGGGGCGCUGUGUGAAACCCAGCAGCAGCAGUGUAGUCCACCAGUCCAGGAUGACAGACAGCUGGUCAGACACGUCCUGUUGUGUCUACUCCUCAUAGUUUCCCUGCUGGCUGUGAGUGUUAUCUACAGUUCUGUUCAACUCUAUUCUGUUCUGCUCUGUUCAACUCUAUUCUGUUCUGCUCUGUUCAACUCUAUUCUGUUCUAUUCUGUUCUACUCUAUUCUGUUAUAUUAUACUCUACUCUGUUCUAUUCUGUUCUACUCUAUUCUGUUCUGCUCUGUUCUAUUCCGUUCUACUCUAUUCUGUUCUACUCUACUCUAUUCUGCUCUACUCUACUCUAUUCUGUUCUACUCUAUUCUGUUCUAUUCUGUUCUACUCUAUUCUGUUCUACUCUGUUCUAUUCUGCUCUACUCUACUCUAUUCUGUUCUACUCUAUUCUGUUCUAUUCUGUUCUACUCUAUUCUGUUCUACUCUGCUCUGUUCUAUUCUGUUCUACUCU